rnacentral:tRNA from 2 species
UGUGUAGCUCAGUUGGUAGAGCAUCUGACUUUUAAUCAGAGGGCCCUGGGUUCGAGUCCCAGCAC